AAAAAACCUAGGGCAUAAAAAGAGGAGGCAAAAAGAAAGAACAGAAAGUAGAACAUGUGAAGGAAAAAGGCAGCAAAGAAAGAGGAAAUUCAGAGAAAGGAGAAACAAGUGCUGGAAGUAAAGGAAUAGAUGGUGGGGGAGGAGGCAGCACAAAGAGAUUCGACAUACAGGGCUUUUAGGAAGAGCGAUGAACAUGUAUCAGAAGAGAAAAUCAGCUGCUGCUUGGGAAGCAACUGGGAAGUUUGCUCCUUCCUCACAAGACUGAGGGUAUAA
rnacentral:lncRNA from 1 species